rnacentral:rRNA from 1 species
UACGGAGGGGGCUAGCGUUGUUCGGAAUUACUGGGCGUAAAGCGCACGUAGGCGGCUUUGUAAGUUAGAGGUGAAAGCCCAGGGCUUAACCCUGGAAUUGCCUUUAAGACUGCAUCGCUAGAAUUGUGGAGAGGUAAGUGGAAUUCCGAGUGUAGAGGUGAAAUUCGUGGAUAUUCGGAAGAACACCAGUGGCGAAGGCGACUUACUGGACACAUAUUGACGCUGAGGUGCGAAAGCGUGGGGAGCAAACAGG